GACUUAACCAUGACGCUCCUUCUGUCCUGCUGUAUCGAGUCUGCGCUCCAGUGGAUGAAUCGAAUUGAGGUCCCCCUUUUUCCUUGUCCUUAUUUGUAAUCUGAAAUAGCUCAAGGCUAAUAGGCUUUGACAUAGCUAGAUCGUCUCUUAGAAGACAGAACUUCGAUCUGCAAAUAUUGUAGCUAUGUGUUUCUGGUUUGUUCUUGCACUAGCUUAGCAUGUUGGGUUAAUUCUCCUUGUUUUAAUUUGCAAUGAUGGAAUUUGCUGCUUAUCCAUGUUAAUGAUUCGUCUUCCUGUGCUUGGUAGAUUGUAGAAACUUUGGACUUGUACAUGCUCUGCUUGAUCUAGGGCCAUGUUUGCCAGGUAGUCUGCUAAAUGAUUAGCCUCUCGAAAUAUAUGUUUUACCUGAACUUGUUUCCUUGCUAUGCACUUUUGUAUUUCCUCGAUUUUUUCAACAUAUGACCAAGGAAUCUUCCACUCUUUUAUUAACAUGUUUUUGAGUGUUAAUGAAUUUGUUUCCAGUAUAAUCUUCUGAAAAUUUUGUAUCUCGCAGUACCGCAUCUCUUUCAACACUCCCAUAAUCUCGGCUUCCAUAUUUGUUGCCUCUCAUAUAGUUUGUGCCUCAGCAUAAAUUAAAUCCCCCAUGUUGUUUCUAAUGCUAAAUCCAUAUGAACUCUGUCCAGGAUUUCCUCUACAAGCACCAUCUGUAUUGCAUUUCACCCACUCUGGGAUUGGCUUCUCCCAACACACUAAUCUAUAGUACAAAGUUGGUUUAUAUGCGCUUAGUUUUGUAAUCAUCUCCUGCCAGUUCUGAAAGCCUUCACAUAACCUUGGAUACAUCACUUUCAGUAGCAUUUGGACAGUGUGUAGACAUUGUCCCAACAACCUCGAAUAUGACACCUCCUUCCCAUGUUUUCGAGCAUUUCUCCUUUUCCACAGCUCACACAUAAUAAUUGGUGGUAUUGCCUUAUAUAUUUGCUUCACCUUGUGUUGUCCUGGCCAGUCCCACCAGAUUGUAAUAAGUUGUUGCAAAUGAACUCCUUCUAAGCUAAUACCUGCACAUGAAGCAAAGUGCUUCCAUAGCUUUUGGGCUAUGGGAGCUGUUAGAAAAAGGUGUUGUACAGUUUCCUCUUCGCCCACAUUACAACAAUGACAUUUUGAUACCACAUUUACUCUCAUUCUUUUGAGAACAUCAUCUGUGGGGAUUCUUUGUCUCCAGACCCUCCAAAAAAAGAAUGAGAUUUUAAGAGGUUGCCCCUUGAGCCAUAUAUUAUUCAUCCAUUCUUUGUCUUCUCUUUUCUUCCGAGUUAACUAAAAGGCUGAUUUAAUAGUGAACUCUCCUUGAGCAUUUCCCAUCCACCAAGCUUUAUCUUGAUCAUCCAUAUUCAUGGUGGGACUGAUGUUUUCCAGUAUACAAUCUACCAUAUCAUGGGACAAUAGUUGACGGAGUCUUGCUAUAUUCCAUUGCCCAUUCAGGAUCAUCUCUUUAACCUCCAUUUCCUCAUCUACUCCUUGUGGUUAUAUGUAAUAAAGAGCACCUUGUUUUGUCCAGUUAUCCAUCCAAAAGCUGGCAGUACCUUCUUUCUGUUGCCACCAUAUUUCGUGUUCUACAUCCUCCCUAACUCGUACCAUAUUUCUCCAUGCAUGUGAUGCAUCCCUGUUAUGAGCCAAUAUGGGGUGAUAUUUUUUACAGUAUUUGUUCCACAUGAAUGUGCUCCACAAUGAUUUCUGAGUUCUAAAAACCCACCACUGUUUAGCAAGGAGAGCAUUUGAUGUAUCAAAAAGGGAUCUGAAGCCUAGACCUCCUUCCUUCUUUGGAUAGCACAUCUCCGACCAUGCAACCCAAUGUUUUCCUCUUACUCCAGCAUAGUUACCCCAAAAGAACUUAGCAAACAUCUGAUGAAUUUGAUCUAUAAUACCUUUUGGUGGGGACAGUGUUGAUAGCAUAUAAAUUGGUAAAGACUGCAGUACAUGAUUUAUCAAAAUGUAUUUUCCACUAAAUGACAAGAAUUUGUUUUGACAUGAGAAAAUUCUGGCAGCAACUUUCUUGAGUAACCCUUCAAAAAGCAUUUUUUUCUUUCUUCCAUAGUAAAUAGGACAACCUAGAUAUGUGAAUGGAAAGUUACCAGGCCUGAUUCCAGUAAGCUUUCACAACCUAACUGUUACAAUUAAAGGAGUCGUUUCAUGCAGGUAGAAAAAACUCUUAUCUUUGUUGACCAUUUGUCCCGACACUCUUUCAUAGUCCCUCAAUACCUUCAUCAUUUGGAUCACUGAAUGUCUGUCCCCUGAACCGAACAAGAUUGUGUCAUCUGCAUAGGCUAAGUGAUUGAUUUUAGGGCUCCAUUUUGGCAUUCCAAAUCCUUUAAACGACUCCUGCUCAUUAAGUUGAUUGAAUCUUCUUGAUAACACCUCAGCAGCUAUAAUGAACAAGGUUGGUGACAGUGGGUCUCCUUGUUUUAGUCCUCUAGUUGAGUGGAAGAAUCCAUGGGACUGUCCAUUUAUCAAUACUGAGUACCAAUUAGCAGAAAUCAACCUCCAAACCAUAUCUAUUAUCACUUCUGAGAAACCAAACUUUCGUAGAACUUUGGUUAAGAAUACCCAAGCCACUCUAUCAUAUGCUUUAGCCAUAUCCAACUUUACCACUACAUUGACCUCUUUAUUUCGUAGGUGUAUAUCCCGAAUUAUUUCUUGUGCUAAUAAUACAUUUUCUGUUAUGCUUCUUCCUUUCACAAAUCCUGAUUGAUUGGGUGAGAUAAUAUUAGGCAGCACUCUAACUAUCCUUUCAUGCAGCACUCUGGAAAUCACCUUGUUUGUAAAAUUGCUCAAACUGAUAGGCCUUAAGUCUUUGAAUUCCUGCACAAACUCCUUUUUGGGGAUCAACACAAGAUUAGUAUGUGUAAUGAAUUUGGGCAACUCUUAUCCACAAAAGAACACUUUGACUAAUCUUGUCAAGUCCUCUCCUAUUGUAUCCCAACAGUGUUGAAAAAAUCUGCCAGUGAAGCCAUCCGGUCCACUCACACUGUCUCCAUUCAAGGUAAAGACCACUUUUUUAACUUCCUCAAUACUUGGAAGCUUAGUCAUCUCCUCGUUCUGUUCAUCUGUAACUAACUUUGGGAUAUUUUGUAGCAUGUCAUACUCCUGAUUGUUGCCCUCUUCUGUGAAUUGGUCUUGAUAAAACUCAACUGCUGCAUCACCCAUUUUAAUCUGAUCAGAAACUUCAGUCCCUCUAAUGUCGGUAAUGUGGUCUAGAUGUAGCUUAUUUCUUCUCCCUCUUACAUAAGAGUGAAAGAACUUUGUAUUUCUAUCCCCUUCCUUAAACCAUUUCAUGCCAGCCUUUUGUUUCCAGUACUCCUCUUCCACUACUAGAUAUUUCCUCAAUUCUGUUUCGGCCUUGCUCAAUUCACUUGUUGGUUGGAGUUCAAACUGCACUUCUUUUGCCUUGAUUAUAUCCUCCAAGGUGGCUAUCUUUUGGAAGAUAUCACUAAACGUGUCUUUACUCCAUUUUGCUAAUUCCAUCUUAGUGUUCUUCAACUUGUCUUGAAAUACUAUAAAAGGGCUCCCAAGUCUAUCCGACUUCCAGUGUUGUCGAACCACCUCCUCAAAGCCUCUAUGUUUAGUCCAGAAGUGUAGGAAUCUGAAGGGCCUGAUAUGUGAUUCCUCAGUAGUACUACAGUGCAUAUGUAGUGGGGCAUGAUCUGAUCCCUGUCUCACAAGAUGAUGAACUUUACUAGACGGAUACAAGUCUUGGAAUUUUUGAUUAACCAGGACCCUAUCCAAUCUCUUGAAUAUACAUUCAUCCUCUACUCUUCCAUUCCACCAUGUGAACAAACUUCCUGAGAAUUUUAGUUCUGACAAACCGCAGUUGUUUAUACAAUGAGCAAAGUCAGCUGCUUCAGAUUGAGUAAAAGCUAACCCUCCCAGUUUAUCUUCUUCCCUCAUAAUCACAUUGAAAUCUCCUCCUAUAACCCAAGGAAUGUCUGAGUCGGCAGCUAUGUGUUGUAAAUCUUCCCAUAGGUCUAUUCUUUCCUCAUGGCUACAUUUAGCAUAUACUGCAGAAACCAGUACAGAAGUGUUGUACCUAGUUAAUUUUAUUGUUAGUUGUUGAACCGAGUCUGCUACAAUCUGUCCUUCAUAAUCGUCAUCCCAAAAAAUCCAGAUUUUGCCUGCCCUAUUAACCAAGGCAUUUGUGUAACCCAGCUUCCUCCUAUAUUGUUCUAGUUCACUUGGAUCCCUAAAUGGUUCCAUGAUCGCUAUAUAUUUGUAAUGAUGCCUUCGUUGUAGAUCCAUCAGUCGCUCAAAAGACUUUUGAGUGUUGACUGAUCUUAUAUUCCAAAAAAUUAUUUUGUCAAUCAUUGAUUAAUCGCUAUACUCCGAUCCUUUUUACUCCUUGUUUUUACCUGUAAAGGCAUGAUAGCUUUACCUUUCUUGAACUCUCGCUUCAAACUAUUAACAUGCCGAGGUGAUAGAUCUCCAGCUCUGCUGAUUUGUUGGAUGUUUUCUUCCAUCUCCUCAUCCUCAUCACGCUCCUGCAUGUUGUUAAUUUGAUCCUCCGAGAUCUCCCUCAAGGCUGCAGCUAGCUGUAGAGACACUAGUUGCAGACCUGAAGGGGUAUGCAAUCAUUCCUCAUCUUCUUCCAGUAAAUCUAUGUGUAUACCCCUUUGGACUUCCUCUAUGCCUACCUCAGGACUUUCUGUCUCAGAACUGAUUUCAGCCAUUUCAGACUUGCUCUUCCCCUCUUUUGCAUUUGGUUCCCCUUUUUCCUCAUUACCCUUUUUCUGGUGUCCUGAUCUGUCCAGUAGUGAGAAAGUAUCUUCCACCCAUUGCUUAGUCGUGAUAUCAUUGCCCUCUUUGUUUUUUAGUUGCUCUUGUUCCAAAGUUUCUGUCCCCUCCUUAUUUAAUGCCUCAAAUUUGUUCGUGGUAAUUGCUCCCACCUUAUUCCAUACUUGGUUUAUCUUCUUCUUACUUGGCCCCCCUUUAUUUUGUUUACCUUCUUGGAAUCUGUCCGCCCUAUCUUCUCCUUCCCAUCGCUUGUCAUUACUUCCCCCCCUCCCUCUGUCAGCCUCCACAAAAGUGUUUGCGCCUAUAUUAAUCUUCUCCUCCAGCUUCCUUUGUUCAAGUUUCUUCCUGUCAGUUUCCCCUUCCCCCGUAGUUAUUUUCUCCCUGUUUGGAUGUAAUUCUGGAUGUUCAACAUAGCACUGUUGUUCGUCAUGCCCCUGUAUCAUGCAUGUUUGGCAGUAUUUGGGCAUAUAGUCGUACUUUAUCUUGAUCCACUUCUCGACUACCUCACCAUCAGACCUUUUUAACCCAGUGUUGAUUCUCUUAGGGAAUUCCUUGAGCAGAUCCACCUCUACCUUAACCCUAGCACAACUAGGUCUAGUUUGAUUUUUGGUCGCCAUGUCCACCUGUAGAGGUUUUCCCACUAUUGCAGCCAAUGAAAAAACUGUCUCUUUCCCAAAGAAGUUUGGGGGUAAUGAGGGGAAGGAAUCCAUGCUAUGGCUAUAGUUGUCUCUUCCUCCGGAUUGAAUAAUGGAUCCCAUUUCAAAGUCCGCAUCGGAUACGACCAAUUUUGUUGUGUUAAGUAGAAGAUUGGUUUCGAUAGCAGAUUGACAUAAUCUUCCAAAAGUGUAGCUCGGAUUAACACAUAUCUAUUAGUUAGCAAACCAAUAUUACACUCCCCCUUCAGUCCACAUUGUUUUGGUAUUAUCUUGCGUAAUUCUUGUAUGUCUGGCCAUCCAUAAGAAAACUUUCCAACUACUGCAUAUUGGAGGUUUUCGUUGACUAUCAUCUGAUCUACCUCUGCUUGUUCCCAUAUGAUUCUUGGCUCACCAUGUAAGUACGAGAUUGGUUUAAGAGAUAGCGGUUUCACCUCCCCUGAUGUCGAUUUAAAGAAGCUCGCAAAAGUCUGCUGACCUGCCUCCAUCUGAGGCUGGCCAGCGGCCGUCGUGAUCUUGAGAAUUUGGUGGUGCCGGCGGCGUUCCUGCUAGGUUUUUGUUCUGUUCGUUCAAUGUUCGACUUUUAGGUUUUUAAUAUGAACCAUUAAAUUUUAAAAAUUAUAGGUCCAAAACAUAUAAUGCUACUAGUUUUAAAUUUUAAUAUACACAUUUGAUUUAAUUAUAUAAAAAAUUUAUGGUGCUAAUUAUUUUAGCAAUUUUCAAUGUAACACACUUGAAAAUUUUGAAAGAUUAAAGGAAAAAAAAACAAAAGAAUAAUUAGUUGAAACGCCAAAAUAUUUUCUUUUAGAUAUCAUCUUAUAUUCAACCUGCCGAUAAGUUAGAAGUUGUUGAUAACCUAACGAUUGCUACAAAGUUUCAAAUGCCAAUCAAUGGAUCGUUACCCGAAAAUUACCAAAUCAUCAACGAUAUUUCUCCUCUUACCGGUCCAGAUGGACUAGUUUUCUUCAUGACCGGUUUGUUGAGGUUGUGGAACUUCUUGGUGGCCAUGAAAGUAAACUCAAAAUUUUAGUGAUUGUUUUAUAUAUAUUUAAAAGUCUAAUCUUGAUUUUUCUUGAUUUUUAGGGGCUGAUCCGCAAUCAAUACUGUCGCUAAUGGAUAUCAAAUAUCUCAAACUUAUUCACGUCAAAAAUCAUCUGCAGGUAAUUAUGGGAAAUGAAAAUUAAAAAUAAACAAUGAAA
rnacentral:lncRNA from 1 species